GAUUUCCCCCGAGUCCUAACGCCCGUCUUUUCCUUGCCUCAGCUCCCUCACACCCUAGCGCGCACUCGCUCUUUCCCGGCUCGAGCCGGCAGAGCGGCCACAGCCUGCUGAGCGCAGACCCCAGGAAAAGGGCUCCGGGCUUGGGAAGGGGCUCAACUCGCCUGUGUUCCACGCGCUCUCUUAGAGGCUUACCCUGGAGAGGCUGCGCUGGAGCCUCCACUCCUGCCCAACCCCAGCCGUCUGUCUGCCAGUACAGCCCGCUUGGCAGGUGGCUGAGGACACGGCCCAGGCAACUGUGCAGAAUCGAUGGGUACCUUCUGGGCAUAUCCAAUUACUGCAGAUCCUCAGGCACGAAAAAUGUGAUGCACUAACCUACUAUAACACAAGGCCAUGUGAAUUAGUUCCCAAAGCUUGAAGAGGGUCAAAAACAGGAUGUCCCAAUUAAAUUGCUAAGAAUUGUACAAAGAUUUUGGGGACACUCCAUAUGACCAAAAGAAUUCCAGGCCAUCAGAAUCAGAAGCGAUAUGAGAGAUCUUGGAAUCAAACUCUCUCAUUUGGCAGGUGGAGAAACUGAAGCAAGAAGCAACUUCUUCAAGUUCACACAACUGGGCAGAACUUCUCCAGUCCCAGUCUUCACAUGGUAUAUUCUGCAGUCCUGUCCCACACAUAUAUGAUCUUUUCUGGAUGAUUUCUGACAUAUCAAUGUCCUGGCUCCCAGAAUUGAACACAUCACUCCAGCUGUGUCCUAUCCAAGGCAGACUACAGUGGGACUACUGUUUCCAUCAUUCUGCUCUUCUCUUAAAUGCCAACUUAAAGAACAUUAGCUUUUUUGGUUGCCAUCUCACACUAUUAAUUCACUGAACUUAUAGUCCAUUCAAAACUCUAGAUCUUUUUUAUUCAAACUGUGUAUACUUUUUGACCCAGUAAUAUCACUAUUAGGUUUAUUUCCUAAGACAAACAAGGAAAAAGGAAAAGAAACUGUAUGUUUUAAAAUAUUUAUAGCAGCUUCUUUUGUGGUGACAAAAAACUGAAAAUCGAAAGGAUGUCCAUCAGUUGGGGAAUAACUGAGCUAGUUGUAGUAUAUGCUUGUAAUAGAAUUCUAUUCUUCAAUAAGAAAUGACAAACCAGAUGUUCACCAAAAAUAUCUGGAAAGGAUUAUAUGAGGUGAAAUAAAAUGGAAUGAGCAGAACCAGCAGAAACCUCACACACAGUAACAAGAAUAAAGUAUGAUGGUCAUCUGUAAAUGACUUAACUAUUAUCAACCAGGCAAUCAUCCAGUCCAUCUCCAAGGGACUCAUGAUGAGAAAGGAUAUUUACCAUCAUAGACGGAAAAGACAGAGUCCAAAUGCAGAUUGAAACAUACCAUUCUUCACAUUAUUUCUUCCGUGAAUUUUUCUCUAGUGGAGGCAACAUGUGUCUUAUUUUACAACAUGAUGAACAGGGAAAUAUGUAUUAUAUGGUAAUAUGUAUACAACUUAUAUCAUAUUACCUGCCUUCUUGGAGAGGGAAGAAAGAGGGGAAGAAAAGAGGUGGGAAAAAUGAGACAAAUAUUUUUGAACGUAGCUAAUGUGAGAAUUUGUUUCUCUUGGAUAACCAUAUUUAUUAUAACUUGUUACAUAUUUUAACAAAUAAAUUAUAUCAUAUUGUUAUGUUACAUAUUAUAUUGUUAAAUAAAAGAAUUUAAGCCCA